CCUACGGGAGGCAGCAGUGGGGAAUAUUGCGCAAUGGGGGAAACCCUGACGCAGCAACGCCGCGUGAGUGAGGAAGGACUUCGGUCUGUAAAGCUCUGUUAAUGUGGAAAAAUGGUUAGCGGUCUAAUAGGCCGUUGAUUUGAUGGUACACAUAGAGGAAGCACCGGCUAACUUCGU
rnacentral:rRNA from 1 species